CAGCAGCCGCGGUAAUACGGAGGGAGCUAGCGUUGUUCGGAAUUACUGGGCGUAGAGCGCACGUAGGCGGCUUUGUAAGUUAGAGGUGAAAGCCUGGAGCUCAACUCCAGAAUUGCCUUUAAGACUGCCGAGCUAGCAGGUGAGAGAGGUAAGUGGAAUUCCGAGUGUAGAGGUGAAAUUCGUAGAUAUUCGGAAGAACACCAGUGGCGAAGGGGGCUUACUGGCUCAUACUGGACGCUGAGGCGCGAAAGCGUGGGGAGCAAACAGGAUUAGAUACCCCCGUAGUCCCUGUCUCUUAUAA
rnacentral:rRNA from 1 species